rnacentral:rRNA from 1 species
GACGAACGCUGGCGGCGUGCUUAACACAUGCAAGUCGAACGGAAAGGCCCUGCUUUUGUGGGGUGCUCGAGUGGCGAACGGGUGAGUAACACGUGAGUAACCUGCCCUAGACUUUGGGAUAACUUCAGGAAACUGGGGCUAAUACCGUAUAGGAGCUCCUGCUGCAUGGUGGGGGUUGGAACGUUUCGGCGGUCGGGGAUGGACUCGCGGCUUAUGAGCUUGUUGGUGGGGGAGUGGCUUACCAAGGCUUUGACGGGUAGCCGGCCUGAGAGGGUGACCGGCCACAUUGGUACUGAGAUACGGCCCAGAGGGCUACGGGAGGCAGCAGUGGGGAAUAUUGCACAAUGGGCGGAAGCCUGAUACAGCAACGCCGCGUGCGGAAUGCCGGCCUUCGGGGUGUAAACCGCUUUCGCCUGUGACGAAGCGGGAGUGACGGUAAUGGGUAAAGAAGCACCGGCUAACUACGUG